rnacentral:rRNA from 1 species
CCUACGGGAGGCAGCAGUGAGGAAUAUUGGUCAAUGGACGAGAGUCUGAACCAGCCAAGUAGCGUGAAGGAUGACUGCCCUAUGGGUUGUAAACUUCUUUUAUAUGGUAAUAAAAUGUUCCACGUGUGGGAUUUUGUAUGUACCAUAUGAAUAAGGAUCGGCUAACUCCGUGCCAGCAGCCGCGGUAAUACGGAGGAUCCGAGCGUUAUCCGGAUUUAUUGGGUUUAAAGGGAGCGUAGGUGGAUUGUUAAGUCAGUUGUGAAAGUUUGCGGCUCAACCGUAAAAUUGCAGUUGAAACUGGCAGUCUUGAGUACAGUAGAGGUGGGCGGAAUUCGUGGUGUAGCGGUGAAAUGCUUAGAUAUCACGAAGAACUCCGAUUGCGAAGGCAGUUCACUGGACUGCAACUGACACUGAGGCUCGAAAGUGUGGGUAUCAAACACGAUUAGAUACCCCGGUAGUC